AGAUUGAACGCUGGCGGCAGGCCUAACACAUGCAAGUCGAGCGGCAGCACGGGUACUUGUACCUGGUGGCGAGCGGCGGACGGGUGAGUAAUGCCUAGGAAUCUGCCUGAUAGUGGGGGAUAACGUUCGGAAACGGACGCUAGUACCGCAUACGUCCUACGGGAGAAAGCGGGGGAUCUUCGGACCUCACGCUAUCAGAUGAGCCUAGGUCGGAUUAGCUAGUUGGUGAGGUAAUGGCUCACCAAGGCGACGAUCCGUAACUGGUCUGAGAGGAUGAUCAGUCACACUGGAACUGAGACACGGUCCAGACUCUACGGGAGCAGCAGUGGGAAUCUUGCG
rnacentral:rRNA from 1 species